rnacentral:rRNA from 1 species
UACGGAGGGAGCUAGCGUUGUUCGGAAUUACUGGGCGUAAAGCGCACGUAGGCGGCUUUGUAAGUUAGAGGUGAAAGCCCGGGGCUCAACUCCGGAACUGCCUUUAAGACUGCAUCGCUCGAAUCCAGGAGAGGUGAGUGGAAUUCCCGAGUGUAGAGGUGAAAUUCGUAGAUAUUCGGAAGAACACCAGUGGCGAAGCGGCUCACUGGACUGGUAUUGACGCUGAGGUGCGAAAGCGUGGGGAGCAAACAGG